rnacentral:rRNA from 1 species
GACGAACGCUGGCGGCGUGCUUAACACAUGCAAGUCGAACGGAAAGGCCCUGCUUUUGUGGGGUGCUCGAGUGGCGAACGGGUGAGUAACACGUGAGUAACCUGCCCUUGAGUUUGGGAUAACUUCAGGAAACUGGGGCUAAUACCGGAUAGGAGCUCCUGCUGCAUGGUGGGGGUUGGAAAGUUUCGGCGGUUGGGGAUGGACUCGCGGCUUAUCAGCUUGUUGGUGGGGUAGUGGCUUACCAAGGCUUUGACGGGUAGCCGGCCUGAGAGGGUGACCGGCCACAUUGGGACUGAGAUACGGCCCAGACUCCUACGGGAGGCAGCAGUGGGGAAUAUUGCACAAUGGGCGGAAGCCUGAUGCAGCAACGCCGCGUGCGGGAUGACGGCCUUCGGGUUGUAAACCGCUUUCGCCUGUGACGAAGCGUGAGUGACGGUAAUGGGUAAAGAAGCACCGGCUAACUACGUG